UACACUCCUACGGGAGGCAGCAGUGGGGAAUUUUGGACAAUGGGGGCAACCCUGAUCCAGCAAUGCCGCGUGAGUGAAGAAGGCCUUCGGGUUGUAAAGCUCUUUUGUCAGGGAAGAAACGGUGGUGGCGAAUAACUACUACUAAUGACGGUACCUGAAGAAUAAGCACCGGCUAACUACGUGCCAGCAGCCGCGGUAAUACGUAGGGUGCAAGCGUUAAUCGGAAUUACUGGGCGUAAAGCGUGCGCAGGCGGUUGUGUAAGUCAGAUGUGAAAUCCCCGGGCUCAACCUGGGAAUUGCAUUUGAGACUGCACGGCUAGAGUGUGUCAGAGGGGGGUAGAAUUCCACGUGUAGCAGUGAAAUGCGUAGAUAUGUGGAGGAAUACCGAUGGCGAAGGCAGCCCCCUGGGAUAACACUGACGCUCAUGCACGAAAGCGUGGGGAGCAAACAGGAUUAGAAACCCGAGUAGUCCCAUGA
rnacentral:rRNA from 1 species